UGGGGAAUAUUGCACAAUGGGCGCAAGCCUGAUGCAGCGACGCCGCGUGAGGGAUGAAGGCCUUCGGGUUGUAAACCUCUUUCGUCAGGGAACAAGGCACUGUCUUUUUGGUGGUGUUGAGGGUACCUGGAUAAGAAGCGCCGGCUAACUACGUGCCAGCAGCCGCGGUAAUACGUAGGGCGCAAGCGUUGUCCGGAAUUAUUGGGCGUAAAGAGCUCGUAGGCGGCUGGUCGCGUCUGUCGCGAAAACUUCCGGCUCAACCGGGGGCUUGCGGUGGGUACGGGCCGGCUAGAGUGCGGUAGGGGUAACUGGAACUCCUGGUGUAGCGGUGGAAUGCGCAGAUAUCAGGAAGAACACCGAUGGCGAAGGCAGGUUACUGGGCCGUUACUGACGCUGAGGAGCGAAAGCGUGGGGAGCGAACAGGAUUAGAUACCCUGGUAGUCCACGCUGUAAACGUUGGGCACUAGGUGUGAGGCUCCUUUCCGGGGGUUUUGCGCCGUAGCUAACGCAUUAAGUGCCCCGCCUGGGGAGUACGGCCGCAAGGCUA
rnacentral:rRNA from 1 species